rnacentral:lncRNA from 1 species
UGCCACUGCCACCACCUAACAUCUAUCGCCACCUAACAACCUCCACCACCUAACAAGCAUUUCUAACGCCCAAUUAUUGGGUUUCAUAUCAGUCUGUGAAACUUAUGGAGCUCAAAAAUCAACCAAAUAUCGAAAAUGAGUACUAUGAUUCGAAACAAAAGAUCUGUAACAUCGGGACGGAUCCGUGUGGGAGGGAGAGGGUGAGAAACAAAGAAACAUCUUUUUUUUUCAGAUCGCCAGAAUAAACGUGAAGGAAAGUUGCGAUGGUGGUGCAUAGCCGUCAGAAUGAGAUGAAGACGAGUGGGGAUACGGUGGUGGCGUCUUGUUGGUGGGAGAGAGUGCCUGUUGCAGAGAUGGCGGCUGUGGAUGGUCGAUUACGGUGCUGGUGACAGUAUGAGUGGAGGUGGUUUCAGAUGGUAGGUUUAGAAAGAGAAAGGGGUGUCGGUGGUGGCUAUCACUAGUGGUGGGGUUUGUUGAAGAGAGAGAGAGAGAGAGUGAAAGCUGGAUAAGA